CCUACGGGGGGCAGCAGUGAGGAAUAUUGGUCAAUGGGCGUAAGCCUGAACCAGCCAAGUCGCGUGAGGGAUGAAGGUUCUAUGGAUCGUAAACCUCUUUUGUCAGGGAACAAAGGCGGGGACGCGUCCCCGGAUGAGUGUACCUGAAGAAAAAGCAUCGGCUAACUCCGUGCCAGCAGCCGCGGUAAUACGGAGGAUGCGAGGUUUACCCGGUUUUAUUGGGUUUAAAGGGUGCGCAGGCGGUCGGUUAAGUAAGCGGUCAAAGCCCGGGGCCCAACCCCGGCCCGCCGUUGAAACUGGCAGUCUCGAGUUGGAGAGAAGUAUGCGGAAUGCGCGGUGUAGCGGUGAAAUGCAUAGAUAUCGCGCAGAACUCCGAUUGCGAAGGCAGCAUGCCGGCUCCACACUGACGCUGAGGCACGAAAGCGUGGUAUCGAACAGGAUUAGAUACCCUUGUAGUC
rnacentral:rRNA from 1 species